rnacentral:rRNA from 1 species
UACGUAAGGUGCGAGCGUUGUCCGGAAUUAUUGGGCGUAAAGGGCUCGUAGGCGGUUUGUCGCGUCGGGAGUGAAAUCCACUGGCUUAACUGGUGGCUUGCUUUCGAUACGGGCAGACUGGAGGUAUGCAGGGGAGAACGGAAUUCCUGGUGUAGCGGUGAAAUGCGCAGAUAUCAGGAGGAACACCGGUGGCGAAGGCGGUUCUCUGGGCAUGUCCUGACGCUGAGGAGCGAAAGUGUGGGGAGCGAACAGG